AGAUGUAAGGUUGGUCUAUGACAUCUGUCACCCCAUUGAUCACCAGGGUUGCCUCUGCUGAUCUGACUGGCUAGGGUGGUGUCCACUUCCUCCCUCAAUGCUCCAUGUGCAUCCCUCCCAAAGUGCAAUCUUCAGUCAAAGAGAAUCAACACCCCUGAAAGGGGUGGACCAUUCCCUCUGUCAAGGGUAUAUGAGGAGCUGAGCACUCCUGCUAGAACCCCCAAACAAGCUCUCUGAUGUAGAUGGUACACUGAAGAGAUUCCAAGAAACACAGCUUCUAUUUCAAGAAACAUUGUCU
rnacentral:snRNA from 1 species